CACUUAUCUGCAGGAAGCACCUUGGGAAGCACGUGGCCCAGCCCUGGAGAGAGGAAGCUAGUGCUUCCCGGCCCCCCUCCUGUCUCCACUGUCUUCCUGCCCCGUUCUCCCCUCCCUGAGUCACCCAGAGCUGCCCCCCACCGUGUCCCUCAUCCCUCCCACUGUGGCGGCUGCAAGGCCGGCCGUGCUCGCCGGAGUCCCCGAUUCGUGGUGGCCCUGAAGGAGGGGGCUCACAACCAGCUGCAGAGCAGCCCCGGGCCUCCGUGCUCUCCCUGCAAACCUACCCUUGACCUGGAGAGCCAGGCGCCCAUGUGGCCACCCAUCCUGGACCUCACGGAGGCCCCCUCGGCCUCCCCAGCAACCCACUGGCCUCGGCUCAGGCGGGCCUGCACUGCCAGGGCUGUUUCCACAGAGCACCUGGCGCAAAGGAUGGGUACAUAAUGAACGAAUGCCAAACCGGCACCACUCCUCUGGACCCACCACCACCCUGGCAAAUGGCAAAAGUUCCAAUACCCAGAAGCACCUUACCCACACAAUGUCCUCCUGUCCCUGCAACAUGGUGGGUUUACAGAGGAGGAAGCCCAGGGACAAGCUAUUUUGUGGAGAAUAAAAGACCCCCAGGCUCUUCACCACCUCCCAGCCUCACCCCGCUGCUCUCCUGUCUCUGUCCUUGAAGGGGACAGGAAUGAUGGUUGCUGAGGGCAAAGUGGACGGAGCAGACCCAAAGGAGGAGGUGGAGGCCUGCACAGAUGGUCUUCGGUGUCCUGGGUCCCCCACAUCCGCCAGUCCCAAGAACCACUGCAGAAGCCCUUCAGCUAAACAAACUGCGGACCAAAAAGGUGAAGCCAUUCGUCCGAAGCUGUGCAGUGAUGGAGCCAGGACCGUCAUCUCCGCUUUCGAUGGGCCCUUCCCAUUGGUGUAACCCGGACGCAGAGCAAACCCCAUAUGCCCCUCUACACAGCACACACACGCCCCACCACGCACACCGCACAUCACACACACAUCACACACACACACACACACCCUGACGCACAACAGACACACACAUGAACGGAGGGGAAAGGGUUGGGAAGAAAUUUUUAUCUCCUGUUUCAAGAAAAACACCAAAAGUAGUGUUGAAGGAAAAGCCAGCAGCCCGCGGGCUCCACGGUUUUUGUUUCGAUUCGC